CGAAUGCUGACAUAAGUAACGAUAAAGCGGGUGAAAAGCCCGCUCGCCGGAAGACCAAGGGUUCCUGUCCAACGUUAAUCGGGGCAGGGUGAGUCGACCCCUAAGGCGAGGCCGAAAGGCGUAGUCGAUGGGAAACAGGUUAAUAUUCCUGUACUUGGUGUUACUGCGAAGGGGGGACGGAGAAGGCUAUGUUGGCCGGGCGACGGUUGUCCCGGUUUAAGCGUGUAGGCUGGUUUUCCAGGCAAAUCCGGAAAAUCAAGGCUGAGGCGUGAUGACGAGGCACUACGGUGCUGAAGCAACAAAUGCCCUGCUUCCAGGAAAAGCCUCUAAGCAUCAGGUAACAUCAAAUCGUACCCCAAACCGACACAGGUGGUCAGGUAGAGAAUACCAAGGCGCUUGAGAGAACUCGGGUGAAGGAACUAGGCAAAAUGGUGCCGUAACUUCGGGAGAAGGCACGCUGAUAUGUAGGUGAAGCGACUUGCUCGUGGAGCUGAAAUCAGUCGAAGAUACCAGCUGGCUGCAACUGUUUAUUAAAAACACAGCACUGUGCAAACACGAAAGUGGACGUAUACGGUGUGACGCCUGCCCGGUGCCGGAAGGUUAAUUGAUGGGGUUAGCGGUAACGCGAAGCUCUUGAUCGAAGCCCCGGUAAACGGCGGCCGUAACUAUAACGGUCCUAAGGUAGCGAAAUUCCUUGUCGGGUAAGUUCCGACCUGCACGAAUGGCGUAAUGAUGGCCAGGCUGUCUCCACCCGAGACUCAGUGAAAUUGAACUCGCUGUGAAGAUGCAGUGUACCCGCGGCAAGACGGAAAGACCCCGUGAACCUUUACUAUAGCUUGACACUGAACAUUGAGCCUUGAUGUGUAGGAUAGGUGGGAGGCUUAGAAGUGUGGACGCCAGUCUGCAUGGAGCCGACCUUGAAAUACCACCCUUUAAUGUUUGAUGUUCUAACGUUGGCCCCUGAUCGGGGUUGCGGACAGUGUCUGGUGGGUAGUUUGACUGGGGCGGUCUCCUCCUAAAGAGUAACGGAGGAGCACGAAGGUUGGCUAAUCCUGGUCGGACAUCAGGAGGUUAGUGCAAUGGCAUAAGCCAGCUUGACUGCGAGCGUGACGGCGCGAGCAGGUGCGAAAGCAGGUCAUAGUGAUCCGGUGGUUCUGAAUGGAAGGGCCAUCGCUCAACGGAUAAAAGGUACUCCGGGGAUAACAGGCUGAUACCGCCCAAGAGUUCAUAUCGACGGCGGUGUUUGGCACCUCGAUGUCGGCUCAUCACAUCCUGGGGCUGAAGUAGGUCCCAAGGGUAUGGCUGUUCGCCAUUUAAAGUGGUACGCGAGCUGGGUUUAGAACGUCGUGAGACAGUUC
rnacentral:rRNA from 1 species